rnacentral:rRNA from 1 species
UACGGAGGGGGCUAGCGUUGUUCGGAAUUACUGGGCGUAAAGCGCACGUAGGCGGCUUUGUAAGUUAGAGGUGAAAGCCCAGGGCUUAACCCUGGAAUUGCCUUUAAGACUGCAUCGCUAGAAUCGUGGAGAGGUGAGUGGAAUUCCGAGUGUAGAGGUGAAAUUCGUAGAUAUUCGGAAGAACACCAGUGGCGAAAGCGGCUCACUGGACCAUUACUGACGCUGAUGCACGAAAGCUAGGGGAGCAAACAGG